GAACGCAUAUUGCGCUCUUUGGUAUUCCGAAGAGCAUGCUUGUUUGAGUAUCAGUAAACACCUCAAAGACUUCAAUUUGUUUUGAAUGGCUUUGGACUUGAGCAAUCCCAACACCAGUCUUUACGAUCGGUGGAGGGUUGCUUGAAAUGCAGGUGCAGCUGGACAUUCUCCUGAGCUAAAAGCAUAUUUAUUUAGUCUGCCUAAAAAACAGAUUAUUACCUUUGCUGCAGCUAACAUAAAGGAGAUUAGUUCUUGUGCUGACUGAUGCAGGAUUCACAGAGACAGCUUCGGCUGGCCUUUGUAAACUCGAUCUCAAAUCAAGUAAGACUACCCGCUGAACUUAAG
rnacentral:misc_RNA from 1 species